rnacentral:lncRNA from 1 species
AUCGUAAUAAUAGAAACCAGAGAUUGAACCCCUACUAUGUGGUAGGCAGAGUACCAGGUGCUUUAUAUCUGAUGACUCACUGGGUGUGCUGUUACCCUUGUGAAUUAACAGGUACUCCAAGCUAGGCCCUUGGGUAAUGGUCCCCCUUGUCACAGGAUUCUCCCUCCAUCUGCAAGAAUUUGCUUUUGAGCCUGGGAUCUUUGGCCAGAUCUGAGGAUCUGUGUGAUCCUCGGGUUUCUAGGCAAGAGGACUUCUUAAGUGAAGCAGGAUAUGAUUUGAGUCUCCUCCCCUGAUAUCUAACAGGUGCCAGCAGCCACUCAGGACACCCAGUGGAACUCACCUUCACCAUCCCACCCCAUCGCUAUAACAACCAUCCCUGGCUUCAAAUCCCAUUCUUUUUUUUUUUUUUUUUUUUUUUUUUUUUCUUUUUUUUUUUCUUUUUUAAGGCCACACAUUCUGCAUAUGGAAGUUUCCAGGCUAGGGGUUGAAUCAGAGCUGUGGCUGCUGGCCUGUGUCAUGGCCACAGCAAUGCCAGGUCUGAGCCACGUCUGCAGCCUACACCACAACUCACAGCAUGGGUUAACGAUCCGGCGUUGCCGUGAGCUGUGGUGUAGGUUGCAGACGCGGCUCAGAUCCCACGUUGCUGUGGCUCUGGCGUAGGCCAGUGGCUACAGCUCUGAUUCGACCCCUAGCCUGGGAACCUCCAUAUGCCGCGGGAGUGGCCCAAAAAAAAAUAAAAAAAAAAAAAAAAAAAAAAAAAGUUUUUUUAUUGAAGUAUAGUUGGUUUACAAUGUUGUAUUUCUGGUGUAGAGCAAGGUGAUAAAAGAAUAUGACAAAAAAUAUAUAUAUUCUUAUAUAUUUCUUUUUUCUUUUUCAUAUGGUUUAUAACAGGAUAUUGAAUAUAGAUAGUUCCCUGUGCUAUACAGAAGGAUCUCCUUUAUCUAUUUCUAUAUAGUAGUUUGUAAAUUUCUACACAAAUUUUAGAGUCGGAUGUUGAUUUCUAUGAAAGAAAAAAAAAAAAGCCAACUGGCAUCUUAUUGGUAUUGCUUUGAACAAUUUGCUUUGGAAAAANUUUUUUUUUUUUUUUUUUUUUUUUUUGUCUUUUUAGGACCACACCCGAGGCAUAUGGAGGUUCCCAGGCUAGGGUCGAAUUGGAGCUGUCACUGCUGGCUUAUGCCACAGCCACUGCAAUGCUGGAUCCUUAAUCCCCUGAGCAAGGCCAGGGAUGGAACCUACAUCCUCAUGGAUGCUAGUCAGAUUUAUUUCUGCUGAGCCAUGACGGGAACUCUGAAAAAUAGCUUAAUUUGAAGAGAAUUGAUAUCUCAACAAUAUUGAGUCUUUCAAUCCAUAAACAUUGUGUAUCUAUCCAUUUAAUGUUCAUUUAGUUAGGUCUUCUUAAAAUUUUUGUAGGAAUAUUUUAUAGUUUCCUGUAUAAAACUUCUCACAUAUUUUGCUAAAUUUAUCCAAAAUUAAGUUUUUGUGUUAUUAUUAGUGAUACUUUUAUACUUUUAUUUCUAACAUUAUUGCUAAUAUAUAGAAAUAUAUUUGAUUUUGUAUAUUGACUUUUUAAUCAUGUGAUCUUGCCAAAUUUAUUUAUUCUUGUUUUUUUCACCAUGCCUGCAGCAUGUGGAAGUUCCCAGGUCAGAGAGUGAACCCAAGCCACAGCAGUGACCCAAGCCACUGGGUUGACAACACAGGAUCUUAACCCACAGCACCACAAGGGAACUCCUGUUUAUUAGUUUCGAUAGCUUUUUGUGGGUACUUUAUGACUUCCAAAAUAGACAAUCGUUUUGUCUUUGAAUAAAGAUAAUUUCCUUUUCAG